rnacentral:rRNA from 1 species
AUGGACGAAAGUCUGAUGGAGCAACGCCGCGUGAGUGAAGAAGGUUUUCGGAUCGUAAAACUCUGUUGUAAGGGAAGAACAAGUACGGUAGUAACUGGCCGUACCUUGACGGUACCUUAUUAGAAAGCCACGGCUAACUACGUGCCAGCAGCCGCGGUAAUACGUAGGUGGCAAGCGUUGUCCGGAAUUAUUGGGCGUAAAGCGCGCGCAGGCGGUCCUUUAAGUCUGAUGUGAAAGCCCACGGCUCAACCGUGGAAGGUCAUUGGAAACUGGGGGACUUGAGUGCAGAAGAGGUUAGUGGAAUUCCAAGUGUAGCGGUGAAAUGCGUAGAGAUUUGGAGGAACACCAGUGGCGAAGGCGACUAACUGGUCUGUAACUGACGCUGAGGCGCGAAAGCGUGGGGAGCAAACAGGAUUAGAUACCCUGGUAGUCCACGCCGUAAACGAUGAGUGCUAAGUGUUAGGGGGU